AACGUAGGAGACAAACGUUAUCCGGAUUUACUGGGCGUAAAGGGUGUGCAGGCGGGCUGUUAAGUGGUGUAUGAAAUAUCCCGGCUCAACCGGGAGAGGUUAUGCCAGACUGGCAGUCUAGAGAGCGAGAGAGGGACGUGGAAUUCCGGGUGUAGUGGUGAAAUGCGUAGAGAUCCGGAGGAACCCCAGAGGCGAAGGCGGCGUCCUGGCUCGCAUCUGACGCUCAGACACGACAGCAUGGGGAGCGAACGGG
rnacentral:rRNA from 1 species